rnacentral:rRNA from 1 species
ACGGUCCUAAGGUAGCGAAAUUCCUUGUCGGGUAAGUUCCGACCUGCACGAAUGGCGUAAUGAUGGCCAGGCUGUCUCCACCCGAGACUCAGUGAAAUUGAACUCGCUGUGAAGAUGCAGUGUACCCGCGGCAAGACGGAAAGACCCCGUGAACCUUUACUAUAGCUUGACACUGAACAUUGAGCCUUGAUGUGUAGGAUAGGUGGGAGGCUUUGAAGUGUGGACGCCAGUCUGCAUGGAGCCGACCUUGAAAUACCACCCUUUAAUGUUUGAUGUUCUAACGUUGACCCGUGAUCCGGGUUGCGGACAGUGUCUGGUGGGUAGUUUGACUGGGGCGGUCUCCUCCUAAAGAGUAACGGAGGAGCACGAAGGUUGGCUAAUCCUGGUCGGACAUCAGGAGGUUAGUGCAAUGGCAUAAGCCAGCUUGACUGCGAGCGUGACGGCGCGAGCAGGUGCGAAAGCAGGUCAUAGUGAUCCGGUGGUUCUGAAUGGAAGGGCCAUCGCUCAACGGAUAAAAGGUACUCCGGGGAUAACAGGCUGAUACCGCCCAAGAGUUCAUAUCGACGGCGGUGUUUGGCACCUCGAUGUCGGCUCAUCACAUCCUGGGGCUGAAGUAGGUCCCAAGGGUAUGGCUGUUCGCCAUUUAAAGUGGUACGCGAGCUGGGUUUAGAACGUCGUGAGACAGUUCGGUCCCUAUCUGCCGUGGGCGCUGGAGAACUGAGGGGGGCUGCUCCUAGUACGAGAGGACCGGAGUGGACGCAUCACUGGUGUUCGGGUUGUCAUGCCAAUGGCACUGCCCGGUAGCUAAAUGCGGAAGAGAUAAGUGCUGAAAGCAUCUAAGCACGAAACUUGCCCCGAGAUGAGUUCUCCCUGACUCCUUGAGAGUCCUGAAGGAACGUUGAAGACGACGACGUUGAUAGGCCGGGUGUGUAAGCGCAGCGAUGCGUUGAGCUAACCGGUACUAAUGAACCGUGAGGCUUAACCUU